rnacentral:lncRNA from 1 species
CCAGCUUUGAUCCUCCUUUUCUCCAGCAUCGAUCUUCUUUUCUUCUUCAGUUGAGCUUCGAUUUGUUCCAAGCUCUCAGCCGAUCCCUUUUAGUUUUUCUUUUCUCUUUAUUUUCAUUUGCUUUCUCUAGCAUCGAUCCUUUUCUGAUGGGACAUGAUUCAUAACUAGAGCUGCGCCUUUUGCUGAUGUGAAUUAGUUAUUUAGCCACAAAUAGAUCGCGAGAUUAAGAUGGCAGUGUUGAUCCUAAAACCAAUUAAAUGAAAUAUCCUUUAGAUACCGUACUAAGAUACAAUUCAUUGUUAAAGGUCUAUCU